UGGCCCGUUUUGGUCGCCUUCCCGAGCCCGGAUGCUCGGCCCGCUUUGAGGAAAGUUGAUCCUCGCGUCGAGCCCGUUGUUUUGAGUGAGUUUUACUCACUAAUGCCUUCUUAGUUCGCUAAUUAUACUUAAAGGUUGAUUAGUGUUAAUUAAGUGUAAUUAGGUUGUUAGAUUAGAAUGGAUUAGGGAUUAUUAGUUCAUUGCUUUGUAUAUUAGUGAUGUAAUUAGUAUAAUUAGAUAGAGAAUUGCAUGUAGUAUUUAUUGGAUGCUUCUUGGGAUUUUUCCCGUCCCUUAUCGGGUAUUAAUUAAGCGAUUCGGGCCUAAGUGGUAUUUUUAGGAAUUAAAUAUUAAUUUUCGAAAUUAAUUAUUUAAUUAUUUAUUUUCCGGAAAUUCAACUGGGAUGGCUAGUGACCGGGAUUUUAGGCUGAUGAUUGUGGCGCAGUCCGUUUAUUUAAUUAAGCUUUAUAUUGUGCUAAAUUGAAUUUAUUGUAUUUAUUUAUUUAAUUUUCGAAAUUAAUUAUUUAAUUAUUCAUUUUCCGGAAAUUCAACUGGGAUGGCCAGUGACCGGAAUUCUGUGCUGAUGGUCAUGGAGCAGUCCGUUUAUUUAUUUGAGCUUUAAUUCGUGUCGAAUUGAUUUAAUGGUGGUGCAUUUUUAAGUAUGUUAUUAAAUAAUGCAAUUUUGGCCUUGUCAUUGAGAAUCGGUCGAAUAUCGGUUGUUAGUAUCGAAAGUGAGUUGGUAAAUCACCUUGAGGAUGCACGUGGCCCAGUAAAUUGGGAUGUUACUCGGGAAAGACACGUGGCUCGGUGAUUAGAUAUGUCACAUUGGCAAAAAGGUAGCAUUAGAGAAUGCACGUGGCUCGGAGACUCGGUAUGUCUUCCUGGAGAAUGCACGUGGCUCGGUGACAUAGUUUGGCAUCUUGAGAGGGUCGAGUGGGACCGUAAAGCCACUAGUUCUCGAGAGGGUCGGGUGGGACCGUAAAGCCACUAGUUCUCGAGAGGGUCGGGUGGGACCGUAAAGCCACUAGUUCUCGAGAGGGUCGGGUGGGACCGUAAAGCCACUAGUUCUUGAGAGGGUCGGGUGGGACCGUAAAGCCACUAAAUCUAAGGAAUUGCUUGGUGUUGGAUGAAUGACCUAGAAAUGAUUCGACUGACUUGUAAUCGACUUGGUCGAUUGAUCGAUGAUUCAAUCUGAGAGUGUCUUGAUGUGAUUCAUUGCCUUGGUUUGAUGUGUUGAAUUGAAUGAUUGAAGGGAGAUGAUCGUGAGUGGUCUUCCUGAUGUGAAAUCGACUAAGUCAAUUAGAUCGAUGCUUCGAUCUGUGAUGUGAUUGCUUGUGUGCCUAUUGAUCUGUACUAAUAUGUAGGUGGAAUCUGAGGCUAAAGGUACGUCCUCUGACUCAUGUUGUGCGUAGGCAGCCCUAAGGUGUAUUAGUUUACUAAUCGAGUCUUAGAAGGUAGAACUUGCUGAGACGUGGUCUCAGUGGUUAUUGAAUAACCAUUUCAGGACCUGGAUGAGGAGCCUAAGGAGCAUGAAUCUGAUGAGGAGAUCCCUGUUGAGGAACCCAAAGAGGAGUACGUGGAGGAGGACCCCGAGUAUGACAUCGAGUACGACCCGGAUGAGGACCGAAAUCCUAUCCUGUCUUGCCAGACCUUGUUUGCAUGUAAAAAG
rnacentral:lncRNA from 1 species